UACGGAGGGUGCAAGCGUUGUCCGGAUUUAUUGGGUUUAAAGGGUGCGUAGGUGGUCAUCUAAGUCUGAUUUGAAAGCAAGCGGCUUAACCGUUUGAUGUGGUUGGAAACUGAAUGACUUGAAUGGGUUGGCGGUAGCCGGAAUGGGUCAUGUAGCGGUGAAAUGCAUAGAUAUGACCCGGAACACCGAUUGCGAAGGCAGGCUACUACGACUUGAUUGACACUGAGGCACGAGAGCAUGGGUAGCGAACAGG
rnacentral:rRNA from 1 species